GUGGCCAGCCUUCGUUGUGUUUUUGCUGGUGGCCAGCCUUCGUUGUGUUUUUGCUGGUGGCCAGCCUUCGUUGUGUUUUUGCUGGUGGCCAGCCUUUGUUGUGUUUUCGCUGGUGGCCAGCCUUUGUUGUGUUUUCGCUGGUUGCCAGUCUUUGUUGUGUUUUCGCUGGUGGCCAGCCUUUGUUGUGUUUUCGCUGGUGGCCAGCCUUUGUUGUGUUUUCGCUGGUGGCCAGCCUUUGUUGUGUUUUCGCUGGUGUCCAGCCUUUGUGUUUUCGCUGGUGGCCAGCCUUUGUUGUGUUUUCGCUGGUGGCCAUCCUUUGUUGUGUUUUCGCUCGUGGCCAGCCUUUGUGUUUUCGCUGGUGGCCAGCCUUCGCUGUGUUUUGGAAACAUAAACUAGUCACCAGCAUACCAAUAUAUGCUGGUUACCUGCAAAACCAGUAUCAAGUCACAUUAUGCAGGCCUUCAAAGUGAUGUCUGAUUCCUAUUGGAAUCCACCCUGACUGGGGAUAUCUGAAUAUUAUAACUUUUAUUCACCCACAAUCUGCAUUCACAAUGACUGC
rnacentral:lncRNA from 1 species